AUUCAAGAGUUACAUGACAAAGGGUAACCAGAGAGCAUAAUUCUUUCACUGGCAUGGAGGCUGCAUCCCAACAUCAUCCUUCUCGGUUUGACAGAUCAUUUCUAGAGGUAGAAAUAUAGCAGGCAAUCAGAUAGAGCCCAGGGUGCCAGGCGAGGGUUUAUCUUGGAAACAUCAUUAAAUACUUUAUAAAUUAGGCAAUUUCAGGCUUCGAGGGAUAAAGACAUCCUCAACUUGUCUCAGUUAAUGGAAGUCUAUCAUUCAGGACUCUUAAUGUUACAGGUGACGAAGGACCGAACUCGAGCUGCCUUAAACAACACAGAGGAUUUAUUGGCUUCAUAAGUGAAAAGUCUAGAGACUUCACCUUUGGGUGAAGCGUGCUUCUGUGGCCCAAAAAUGUCACCAGGGUCCCUGUUUCUCUGUCACCACCCAUUGCUUGUCCUUAGGUUGUGGAAUCACCACCAGUUUUGUUUCAGAGAAGCAAAAGGGCUACAGUGAGCCAGACCUCACAUCUUCACACCCCCUGGGCCAGAGAAGAGAGUGGUCGGGUUCCAGAAGCUCCUGUAGUGACUUUCAAACCUGACCCAUCAGCAAAAGCUCAGGACAGGCUGAAUACCAUUCCUUCCCUGCACCCCCACCGGCACAACUCAGGAUUCCUGGCCUAAGAAUACAACUCUUGAAUUUCAUUUUAUAUGGAAAACUCUAAGGGAGAAACCAGAAUUGUCCCCUGAUUCCACCAUCCAGAUGACACUUAUUGAACUUUCCCAGUAAAUGUAGUCAAUGGUAUAAAGUAAGAAAAUCAAACAGUAUCUAAUAAAACGUAAGAACUUCUCUUUCUGUCCCUUUUUCCAAAGGUGUCACUGUUAUCAGCUUCUUGUCUAUUUUCUACCAAAAUAUAUAGCGUCUCAUUUUUUUAAAUUACGGGAGAUGGAUCACACUGUUUACACUGUGCUGGUUUCUGCUCUUCUCACUCCAUAAUCUAACUCAGAGGUGGCUUUAUCUUGGCAUCAGCAAAUGGAAGCCCUCUUAAAUCUUUGGAAAAGGUCUAAGAAUGUUCCAUCAUUUAUUUAACCAGGUUUCUCUUGGCAGACAUUUGGGUUGUUCUGCUACGCAAACAGUGGUGCCAUGGGCAUCCUUCUUUAUCAACCUUGAUGUCCCCUGUGGGGGGUCCUGGAGUCAUCUCCUGGCAGUGGAAUUGCUGGGUCAAAGGUUACUCUGGAGUCCAUCGCUGCUUCUUGCCCGCCCAUAGACCCUGAUUAACACAGAGCAGUAGGAAUUUAGCUGCUUUUCCACGGGCUUGAGUGGGAGGGGACAUAAAGUUUCAUGGAGAGAGACGGAUUUGCAGCAUGGAGCCUCUGGAGGAAAAGAACUGGUUCUUACUCAA
rnacentral:lncRNA from 1 species